rnacentral:misc_RNA from 1 species
CUGGGUGGGCUGCAGGCAUUGGAGUUGUAGAUGAAGCAUUGACUAUGGUGCUUCCAGAAAGGAGGCGGCACAGUUACCAACUUGAAUUUUUGUUCAAUUAUUGUAUGAGGAUGCUUUUAAGACAUCAUAAGCAAUCANNNACUCUGGGAGUCCAUCUCUCAGGGGCUGCAAGUAUAUCCUUGCAGUCCUGAACUCUUCAGGGCCUUAGUGGAGAUCACCCAUCGUUAUGCAACACCCAAUAAAUUGCGGUGGAUGUUCGAUGAUUACUGUUACAAGAAACCUUCUGUUAUUGUUUGGAUUUUUGCAUUGUCUUUUGAGAUGAGCAGAGGAGGCUCCCAUCACAGAAUCCAUGGGUUAUUUGAAAGAGCAUUGGCAAAUGAGAGCUUGCGUAAAUCGGUCAUACUUUGGCGUACUUACAUUGCUUAUGAAAUUGACAUAGCAUGCAAUCCUUCUGCUGCUAGGCGAAUUUUCUUCCGAGCUAUUCAUGCCUGUCCAUGGUAAGAGAUUGAUGAUGGGAGCCUCCUCUGCUCNGUAAAAUUGAAUUCUGUCCUAUCUCCGAAGGAGCUGUCUGAUCUCCAAGAAGUAAUGCGGGAUAAGGAAUUGAAUCUGAGGACAGAUAUUUAUGAGAUUCUCUUGCAAGAUGAGCUUGUAUCAUGAUAAUUGCUGUUACAUUUAACUGAAUAGAAUUUGAUUAGGCUUGUAAAGGCAUCAAUCAGAAUUGUAG